rnacentral:rRNA from 1 species
CCUACGGGAGGCAGCAGUGAGGAAUAUUGGUCAAUGGACGCAAGUCUGAACCAGCCAUGCCGCGUGCAGGAAGACGGCCCUAUGAGUUGUAAACCGCUUUUGUACGAGGGCAAACGCAGCUCCGCGUAGCUUUCCGAGAGUACCCUAAGAAAAAGCAUCGGCUAACUCCGUGCCAGCAGCCGCGGUAAUACGGAGGAUGCAAGCGUUAUCCGGAUUUAUUGGGUUUAAAGGGUGCGCAGGCGGUAGAUAAAGUCAGAGGGGAAAUUGCGAGGCACAACUUCGAAUAGCCGUUGAAAAUGGUCUGCUUGAGUGAAGGAGAAGUAGGCGGAAUGUGUGGUGUAGCGGUGAAAUGCAUAGAGAUCAUGCAGAACUCCGAUUGCGAAGGCAGCAUACCGGGGUACAACUGACGUUGAGGCACGAAAGUGUGGGUAGCGAACAGGAUUAGAUACCCGGGUAGUC